rnacentral:piRNA from 1 species
UCCAGAGCCAUUUAUAUCUUGUUUUACAACA